UGUAAUUUUUAAUUCAAAACAAACUUAUUGUGUAGCAUAACAAUAUUCCUUUGUUCUUUGUUCACAAUUUCUGUUUAUGGGAGUUGAGUUUAGGGGAGCCCAAUCACACUCAGCAAAAUGGGAAGACUUCAACAGUGGUAAAUGCUUGGGGGGGUUGCAAAAUGCCUCAUGUGAUGCCUUCUAUUCUCAGCAUAGGUUAAAAUUAGAACUAGACUGACAUUGCAUUGGAGUCUGAGUGAGAGUUUUAAAUGGCUUUGGUAAUGCAGAUGAGAUUCAUAAUUUAUCUCCACUCUUGUCCAGAAAGCAAUGAGCCACAGAAAAUCCUUGAAAACACUGAAUAAUUAAGAAUUUUGUUUUUCACGUCACUGUCCCCAUCUGGGACCCAUACCUGAAGUGGUGCAUUGAGCCUGAAAUUCAGUCAGAUUCCUGCAAGCAAAUCUGAACAUGUAAAGGAUCAUGGCUGAAACUGCAGUUUGCCUGGGAACAUUCUCUGCUGUGAAGACACUCUGGGAAGUGAGAAUACACAAGAUAAAUGAGGAAUUACAGAGAGAAAAGGAAUUCAGGCAGAGGUCUGCAGGAAGACUACUGCUUGUCUGGGAGGAGAGAGCUGCUUUAGCAAAGCUUAAAGAAAAAGUUAUUAAUGAAGGUGGAAGAGCAAUUUUAAGGAUAGAGGAAGAAGAAUGGAAGACAUUACCUUCGUGCUUAUUGAAACUAAUCCAUCUCCAGGAAUGGCAGCUUCACAGAACUAGUUUGCAGAAAAUUCCUCAGUUUAUUGGAAGAUUUCACAGCCUUGUUGUUCUGGAUCUAUCCCGGAACUCAAUUGAAAGUGUACCUAAAGAAAUUGGCCAGCUGACCAGCCUCCAAGAGCUGCUUCUCAGUUACAACAGAAUAAAAUCUGUUCCUAAGGAAAUAAGUAACUGCAUCAGUCUGGAAAGAUUGGAACUGGCUGUCAACAGAAGUAUCUGUGAUCUUCCUCCUCAGCUCAGUGAUUUAAAGAAGCUGUCACACAUAGAUCUGUGCAUGAAUCAGUUUACUGCCAUCCCCUCAGCUCUCCUCAACAUGCCAAAUCUUGAAUGGUUAGAUAUGGGGGGAAACAAACUCCAGGAGCUUCCUGACACAAUUGACAGAAUGGAAAACCUCCACACUUUAUGGCUCCAAAGGAAUGAAAUAAACUCUUUGCCAGAAACCAUUGGUAAUAUGAAAAAUCUAAGUACUCUUGUUCUUAGCAACAACAAACUUACGACUAUUCCAGCUUGUAUGAAGGACAUGACAAAUCUGAGAUUUGUCAACUUCAGAGACAACCCACUGGAGCUAGAGGUAACACUCCCUCCAUGUGAGAACACAGACGAGGAGGAGCAACAGGAAAUGUUUGGCAUUGACUUCAUGCACAUGUAUAUCCAGGAAUCACUCAAGAAAACAGGAAAUGUGGAAAGUUGUACUUCUGGUUCUCCUCCUGUCAUGAAUCCUAAUGAAUAAAGAAUGUAACUGUGAAUGGAAAAGAAAAUAUCAAGUACACUUCUUCCCAGCAAAGAGGCUACAACAGUUGGCUCUGGUAUCAAAGAAGGAUUUGGGACAGCUGUCAACAGGACAUUCUCCAAGGACACAGCAGACUCUGUGUAAUACUGCAGUGCAGCCUUGUAUCCUUGCUGUUGUAAAUACUCAAUGCGCCCGUGAUCAAUCAGCCGUUUGCAGAGGCAGCCGAUCUCCUUCCGCUCCUCAACGCUCAGCACCCUGGCUCCAGACAGAGGAAGGAAGGAAUGAACAGCUGGCACAAAACAGUUCUGGUAAUUAACAUUAGUAGUUAAGCUUAGAAGAACUACUGAAAUAAUUUUAAGUUCAUUUCGGUCAGGUAAGCAUGACUGUUGAAAUAUUUUGAAAUGUACGUCCAUGAAAAUCAUAUCUUUAAAGUCUAUAAGUUUAUAUCUUUAUAGUCUAUAAGUUUACUAAUUAAAUGUUUCUGCAAAAUUA